rnacentral:miRNA from 1 species
AUUGGCCUGGAGAUGUGACUCAGUGGUAGGAUGUUUGCCCAGCAUGUGGAAGGCCAUGUGUUCAAUCCCAAGGCCUACAAAA